UAUCUCAGUGGUAGAGUGCAUGCCCAGCAUGCAUGAGGUCCUGGGUUCAAUCCCCAG
rnacentral:tRNA from 1 species